AGAGCGAACGCUGGCGGCAGGCCUAACACAUGCAAGUCGAGCGCCCCGCAAGGGGAGCGGCAGGCGGGAGAGUAACACGUGGGAACGUACCCUUCAGUUCGGAACAACCCAGGGAAACUUGGGCUAAUACCGAAUACGUCCGUAAGGAGAAAGAUUUAUCGCUGAAGGAUCGGCCCGCGUCUGAUUAGCUAGUUGGUGAGGUAACGGCUCACCAAGGCUACGAUCAGUAGCUGGUCUGAGAGGAUGAUCAGCCUCACUGGGACUGAGACACGGUCCAGACUCCUACGGGAGGCAGCAGUGGGGAAUUUUGCGCAAUGGGGGAACCCUGACGCAGCAACGCCGCGUGGAGGAUGAAGUCCUUCGGGACGUAAACUCCUUUCGAUCGGGACGAUUAUGACGGUACCGGAAGAAGAAGCCCGGCUAACUUCGUGCCAGCAGCCGC
rnacentral:rRNA from 1 species